AUACGAAAGGUGCAAGCGUUGUUCGGAUUUACAGGGCGUAAAGAGAUCGUAGGUGGUUUAUUAAGUCGGAUGUGAAAUCCCGGGGCUCAACCCCGGAACUGCAUUCGAUACUGGUAGACUAGAGUUUGGGAGGGGUAAGCGGAAUUCCGUGUGUAGCAGUGAAAUGCGUAGAUAUACGGAGGAACACCUGAGGCGAAGGCGGCUUACUGGACCAAUACUGACACUGAGGAUCGAAAGCGUGGGUAGCAAACAGGAUUAGAUACCCUAGUAGUCC
rnacentral:rRNA from 1 species